AUUGAACGCUGGCGGCAUGCCUUACACAUGCAAGUCGAACGGUAGCACGGGAGCAAUCCUGGUGGCGAGUGGCGAACGGGUGAGUAAUAUAUCGGAACGUGCCCAGUAGUGGGGGAUAACUGCUCGAGAGAGCAGCUAAUACCGCAUACGACCCGAGGGUGAAAGGGGGGGAUCGCAAGACCUCUCGCUAUUGGAGCGGCCGAUGUCAGAUUAGCUAGUUGGUGGGGUAAAGGCCUACCAAGGCAACGAUCUGUAGUUGGUCUGAGAGGACGACCAGCCACACUGGGACUGAGACACGGCCCAGACUCCUACGGGAGGCAGCAGUGGGGAAUUUUGGACAAUGGGCGCAAGCCUGAUCCAGCAAUGCCGCGUGCAGGAAGAAGGCCUUUGGGUUGUAAACUGCUUUUGUCAGGGAAGAAAUCUUCUGGGUUAAUACCUCGGGAGGAUGACGGUACCUGAAGAAUAAGCACCGGCUAACUACUUGCCAGCCGCCGCGGUAAGAC
rnacentral:rRNA from 1 species